AGGGUGCAAGCGUUGUCCGGAUUUAUUGGGUUUAAAGGGUGCGUAGGCGGCCCUGUAAGUCAGUGGUGAAAUACUCCAGCUUAACUGGAGGGGUGCCAUUGAUACUGCAGGGCUUGAGUUAAGUUGAAGUUGGCGGAAUUGACGGUGUAGCGGUGAAAUGCUUAGAUAUCGUCAAGAACACCGAUAGUGAAGACAGCUAACUAAACUUUUACUGACGCUGAGGCACGAAAGCGUGGGGAGCAAACAGG
rnacentral:rRNA from 1 species